UCUGGCGGCAGUAGCGCGGUGGUCCCACCUGACCCCAUGCCGAACUCAGAAGUGAAACGCCGUAGCGCCGAUGGUAGUGUGGGGUCUCCCCAUGUGAGAGUAGGGAACUGCCAGAC
rnacentral:rRNA from 11 species